GCAGAAUAGAAAAUUUUAUUAAUUAGUCAUAAAUAGUUUCUGGAAAAAAAAUCUUCAGUAAAUUAAUUAAGGAUAUCUUUCAAUCCUGAAGAAUAUUAGAAUGCAGUGCACUUGUAUGGUUGGAUGGAACAUACACUUUUGAACCUAGAAAAUAUCUGAGCUGAAAAGGUAGAGGAUAAAGUCUAGGAAAAGUCUAUGCAGAUUCCAACCUUGAAUCUUCCCACAAGUCCUUGGACAAACGGUAAGAAUCUACCCUUCUUCCCAUUAAUUAAAGCAAGCCUAAAUUGCAGGCACAUAAUUUAAAAAAGGAAUAUUCGCACGAUAAAGAAUUGUAAAACGAACACGCGAGAGGUCCUUUUGUUCCACCACGCAACGAAGUGAAAACGAAGAAUAAGGUCAAGGGGUGAGAGGCUCGAACAGGAAAGCAAUUUACAACACACCGUUGCAGCCUGCAGUUCAGCGAGUGAAAGUCGAUGAUUGCGAUGAAUCGUAUAAUCAUUUUUCAUGCAACCAGAUAGAACGGAUUUGGUGUAAAGUUCAGCACGAAAGGUAUUCCACGAGUUUCGCAUCCCUGGAUCCUUGCUAUUUUAUUCUGGAAACUGGAUACACCAUAUUACCUGCGGUUAAACGGGGCUGUGCCGUGGACACGGCGGUGUAACAUAGAUGGAUCACAAGGACACGAGUACCUGAGGAAACGUACACGCAGAACGUGGUAUCAGAGGAAAGCUUCAGAUCCAUUUGCAGGAUUGAAUAACACACUUUUUGCUACUAUUCCUUGCUUAUAGAAAAGAAAUUUAAUUCCCACAAUGUGGCACGACGAUAGCAGGAAUACAGCUUCAAUGUUAUGAUAACCGGGAAUAACAGGAUAAAUGGAUCUAGAUAUAAAUAUAGAUUUAGAGAUGAGGAAGGUAGAGAUUUAGGGUUGUAGAAAAUUUUAAUAUAGAUCUUGUAUUUGAUGUUUAAUCUUCUGAUGUUGCUGUUAAUGGCAGUAUGUCUACAUGACUAGUCUGACAAGAAAAUUACUAUGAAACAGUUUUGGUAGUUGUGAUGACUUAUGGUUAUCAUUUAUAGUGACUACAGAACGCUAAAUAUUUAAAGUAUGUACUAUAACGUGUAAGCAUUGCUCACAAGACUAUUAGAUAGCUAUUUAUAACACAUUCGUAACGAUUACAUAAAGCUGAGUUAUUAAAAUGUCCUACAUAUUGGAAUUCUAAGCUGAUAGGUAAUUAUUUCAGAGGGUUUCAAGAACAUCGGAAAGGAUUCUAAAAGCUGUGACCUAGUUUAGCCAUUCUAAUCAUCCAACAUUAAUUCCACGAAGUCAAUGUAGGACGACUUAGAUGAGGAACUAGAUCGUGUCCAUCGGUGAAACUGUCUUCGAAGAAUCUCAAGGAUUGCGUUAGAUCAAUGGUUUCGUUUUGUCAUUAAACGAGACAAUUGAAUAAAUAAUUCCUUCAAACGACUGACAUGGUACUAGGAAAAAGGACUCUCGCUAUAUUGCCGCCGACUUGAGGUAGUAGAUAUAUUCCUAAUUAAUACAAGACGAAAGAAAUUGAAUUUUCAAUUCAAUUGUAUAUUUUAUAUUCGUUUCAAUAAAUCUGUAGGAUCGCAGUGUAUUAAAUCAUCCACAUUUUCGCUGUGUCGGGUGCAAGCAACAAUUUUUGCGUAACGCCGUAGAAUUUAUGAAAACAGGACAGAAUUUAUGCAGUGCAUUUAAACGAAACCCAGGGAAAUCUCGUCCCAACUCGUGCUGAAUUAUUAAGCGAAAUUAAAUUUGGUUCAUACCGGUUAGAAUAUUAAUCAAUGGGGUUUAACGCUCAGUUGUUCGGUAAUUAAAUACCCUAGAGAACCGAAACGCAGGGUUUAUUCGAUCGAUAAUGUUGGUACAUUGUUUCAUAGUCAUUUUAAGUAUAAUUAAUAAUAUAACAGUGCAAUCGUAAAGUUGUGCUAUUUACUGUGGUCAUAAACUUGCACUCGGGUAGAAUAUAAAAACCAUGACGGAAUUAAUAUAUAAAAUGAGCGGAUUAAUUAAUACAAUAUUUUCACCCUACAUUUGAUUAGCCCCAUAAAAGGCGUACGUGUCAAUAUAUCCUAACGGACGAAGUAACGCGAGCAGAGGUGAACGCCUGAAAUUGGACACCGGUAAUUACGAUAGGCCGCUUUUAUCGUUGCAUUUCGCCCCGGUUCUACGUGAACGGAAAUUACACCCUCGUAUGGCGCAUCCACGGUUCGUCCUUGCUAGCCACGCGAAUUACCAGGGAUGUUUGCUCAGAGGGACGAUAUACCGCGAGUGUGUGGAACGAACGCUUUGGGGAAAAAAUUCGAACGGAAUGGCGUUGUCGGUUAUAUACCUAGCGGCUAUAUUUGAGUUCACUGACACUUUCGAGCACGCGCGAUAGAUACCGCUUUCGUCUGCUUUCGUGCACGUGUAUUCGUGUUCUUGUUGCCACCGUAUUGGGAGCAUUCUAACAGUAUCGUAAUCAUGGUUAGGCAUAUCUCAUUCGCGCUGCUAACGAGGGAAGCACCUGCAUUGUCCAACUUCGAUUUCGAUCGAUUUUUGUCGGAUGACGACAAAUACAUACCGGGCAUGCAUUUAGAAGCCUUGCUAUGCAACAAGAAACUAGUACAUGUGUUUUUUUUUACUCAUUACGCGUUAAUCACUGCAGUCAUUCGUAAUUGGCGCGAAAUUGUUUUCGUACGUACUUUUCGGUGAUCUUCGGAAAUGUUCGGAUUCUUUCGUUAGCAAUAGCCUGCACUUCGCGCUUUUUUACAUAUAAAAAAAUAAUAGAACAUAAAAGAUAGAAAAGUUAGAAUAUAAAUAUCCUGAGGAAAUCUAGGAAUCUAGAGGAUGUAAGUAGUCGCCCUAUCUUUCCUUAAAUCCGUCACUGGCAGACAGUACAUUUAAAUUUGAAGCGUGAACAUGAAAUUGGAAUAAUUUAGAAACGAUUUAUUUACAUACUGACGUAUUUUACGUAUGCGAUCUGAUCAUGUAUUUUUAGAAACGACCGUAAACUACUCGACAUGAUACACACAUACUGUAAAAAUGGGGAACGGUAUAAUUUUAUCGUCAAUUCGAUAGAGUUCUCAGAAGGCCGCUAUGAAACCGGUUUGCAGCGAACGGUAUGGUGUAUAAGACCAUAUAAAUGCAUCCCUGUCCAAGAUCCUUUUGUGUCAAAAUUUUGGUGCUUAAUUAAGACGCCUCGUGUUACGUUAACCUUUUUUUUCAUGUUAAUUUUAAUUCAUUGUCAUAAAAACAGAUGUUUUGUUUACAAACGCCGUGAUAAUACUCGAUGAAUAUUAAUUCGAAUAUUUAAAAUAAAUAAUUUUAUUACGCCAUUUAAUGAAUUUAUUAUGAUUGCAUCUGCUUUAAAAACUUCACAGAAAUGUAUUACCAAUCGAGUAUUUCCUGGGUCGUGACCUCGAUAUGAAAUACAUAUGUAUAUUACAUUUACAUGUUUAAUUCAACAUGCAUACAGUGCUGUCUUUAAACUUUGCAGUGCCCGACGCAGAAAUCAGUAUUAUUGAGA